GAGUGCUUUUGAGGGUGCACUGGGGCCUGAUGUGCUUGCUGUGUGUGGUCUCUGUGUUCAAGUCCUGAACUCAGGAAGGGGUAGACUCUCCCAGAACCUGGUGACAAAGCGCCCUCUUGUGGCCAGAGCGGGAGGCAGCGCAUGGAUGAGGAAAAGAGAAGUAGAUUGUAGAGAGCCAGAACCAGGCCCAGGUGGAUGCUGGGGCUCAGGAAGGAAGGGACAAUGAAGGGAGAGGAGACUAGAUUAGAGAAGGCCAAUGCAUCUAGGGUGCUGAGCUCCACCCUUCCCAAAACUCGAAGUACCCUGUCCAGACAAGGAGCAAGGCAAGUGGGCUGCAUGAAUACAGAAGGAAGCUCAGCCUUUGAGCUGACAUGUGGAACCUGGUUAUGAGCAUGGAUGAAAUGAGGUCAUCUCUCCCUCUCCACCAUACGCCGGAGAGUGCUGUAAAGACAGUCUGUGUGACAGCCCCAUCCUUAUCUGUCGCAGGCCAAGGACAGACUGCACAGUCACCAUCCCCUGCCUCCUGGAGUAGCCCUGUCUGAAGUGUGCAAUGCUUGGGGGCUUGGGACUAGUUAAAGCACAAGAAUAGGGCAGUUGCCACUAAGUCCACUUACUGGGCCAGCCAGGCUGUGUUGGGGCAGGCAGAGCUGUGUUUCCAGUCAUUUCCACAAGGGCUGUUCUGGUUGGGCAUAGGCCAGCAGGUGUUAGUUCUGGUGAGAUGGCCUCCCGUUUUGAGAAGCCCCAAACUCACAAAUCACCGUCAAGCCAAGUGCACCCUGGAAGAUCAUUUGUUCUUACAACAGUGUCCUGGCACGGGAGAUCCCUGAAGGUGUGGUGUGCAGUCAAAGUCACUUACUGCUGACACUUGGCCCCUCUCCUUUCUACUCAGCACAGCCACCACCUUUCUGUUCCUGACCACCGACCACUGCUUUAGCAAUGACAAUCUAGGACCUAAAGGAGAUGGUCACAGAGCAGGUGGAGUGCAUGGUGUGAGCAGCAGGGCAGCCCGGCACUGAUGGCCCUGCUCUAUUUGGGCCUCAGUUUCUGCAUCUGCAGAAGGGAGGUGGCACAAUGAUAUUGAGAGCUCUAUGAUCCCUCGGAGACUCCACUCCAUUCUCCCUUUGUCAGCAGGAUAUAGGGCCAGCCUCCAGUACGAGAGGUCCUAGGGGCCACAGUACAGAGAAAGAGGCAGAUGCAACCAGGCCAGAGGCUAGCCCAGUGUCAGCCUAAUGCGGACACCUUGGGCCUUUUAUUCAGGCUUCUGGCAUUCAGUCGUCCUUCUGUGCUCUUCCGGGUGAGCAACCAGCAGCCUCUGGGGUUCACUCUAGGUAAGGGAGCUCAUCCCACUCAGGGCAGCUGGGUCUAUUUUGAGAUGGCUCUGAUAGACCUUGCUGGAUACAGUUGCCUUGAGAAUUCUGUGAGGGCCCUUCCAGAGCUCCGUGUGAACACAGCAGAGCUUAAGGCUACACACGUUCCUGUUUGCCUUUCAGAAAAGCACAGCCUGGAAACCAGACCCUGCAUGCGCCACCCACAGGCACAAUGAUGAAACUUCCCUGGUGUGUGGGUGAGGCCAAACGACCCACUUCAGGAUCCGCUCUGGGUCAGAGGCCCCAGGUCUUUACAUAAAGCCAGCUCUCUGAUAGCUGGUCCGAGGACCUGAUAUAUAAGGAAGGGACAAAAUGAGGAGAGAAAGAGACCUGAGCCUGUCUGAAUUCAGAGGCCGUCUACUGAGAGCACACAUCGCAGGGGGGUAGAGUUGCCAAACUGGGGGUGCUAUGAUCCCUCUUUGGCAGGAUGCCAAAGUGGCUGCUGGAUCCUGCGAAGGGGAGCUAGAGUGGGUGGACCUCAAGAUCCUACCUGUGUGUAGGCCUCCCCACUGUGGUGUGGGGUCUUCCUCAGAGACUUAGUCAAGAGCAAAGACACAGUUCUGAGUCCAUGGGACAUAUGGGUUUGGACUGGCCAGACAGGCUCCAACUAAGGACACAUUGACUCAACUAAGACAUGUUUUCCUUAAAUAAACCAGAGUAGCCCUACUUCUGGGCUUUCAAACACAAAUGUGCCACUUGAAUGUUUGACCACUACGUUGAAACACAUACUGAAUACAUGCUAGCUGGAUUUUCAUUGCUAGGCAACAUGGGACACCACCAUGCAUCAAGCCCAGCCUUGAAGGGCGCUGAGUCUCACUGCCCAGUGAGGAGCCUCCAGCCAGGAGCACAGCAGAAUCAGGCUUUGCAACUCUGGGGAAAAGGAGAGAUCGAGGACCUUAAGGUCUGCUAUGGCCUGGAUGUAUCCCCUAAAUUCUGGUGUUGGAAACUUAGUUCCUGGUAGCACAGUGUUGGCCUUUAGAGGUAUUUGGUCACAGGAUUAAUACCUGCUGAGGUUUGGUCUAUUGCCAUACAGCCAUGCUAAAUAUUGGCCCCAAGUUCUGCUUGCCCCCAUUGAGGAGGAAAUCCUUGCUUACCGCAAGUGGUGCUGUGUAACCUUACUCCUUAUUUUAAAACUAAUGGUUGAAUAAAGAUUCCUACACCCUAUAGCUGGGCAGAAGAGUGGUAGGCAGGGCCUUGGUUCCUGGGCUUGGGGUCUGAGGCAGAGACCACAAGGAGACAAGAAGAUGCCAUGGGGUAGGUGUGUCACGAGUGCAUGGCUGUGAGGGCCGGCUAACUGGAGUAGGAGUGGCCCAGGCAGAACAUGACAAGUGAUAUCUCGGGGUUAUUGAAAGGGAAGUAGACAAAAUAGCACAGAGGGUUGAUAUCUGCCCAGCACUAGUGCUGUUAGGGCUUAUUAUAAAUGCAAAGGUUUGUGUCUUUUGUUUGAGAACUAUAUGACCAAGGGUGGGGUAGAAACCCCCCAAAUAAUUAUCAUCAUAACAGUUACCUUAUGAAAAAGGCUUGAGGGAAUGGGCUCUCUGUUCUGAUCACACAUUAGGAUUCACUAUCCCUCCUCCUCUGGGAAUGUAGGAAGACACACCCAGCCAUCUUGGAAUCAGACACUGAACAUACUGGCACGGUGAUCUUGGACACCCCAGUCUUCAGAGCUGUGAGAGACUCUAUUUCUUGUCUUCACAAUAAGGUACUGUGUUACAUCAGGGCGAACAAACCAGGAAGGGAUAGGCUGGCCACUUGGAAAGAAUGCUUUUGUAGCUUAUGAGCAGGGCUCCCUCAGGCCAGACAUAACCAAUGGAGCUCUGAGACCCUCCUCUGAGAGGCUGGGGAAGAAAGGAAGCCUGUAGUUCAGGUAUGUUGGGGCUUCAAAGAUAUGUCCAACCUAGGAGAGUCUGCCGAGCCCUCCCUCUCUCAUGCCGAGCUCACAGACUGCCUUAGCUCAGCGUUCCCUCCGCUUUCUACCCAGGAUGGAUCUCAGAGUCAAAGGCAGGCCACUGGUGGGUUCUAGCCCUGUGUAGGACAAUCAUUCAGAUGUGCAUGACCGACAUACCAUCCCUCAAACCCAGAUAACCAUGUUUCACCAAGUCUCUCUAGCAUCGACAAAACAGUGUUGUUUGAAUGGCCUGACCACAACGGGAUCCAUUAAAACAAGCAAGGCAGGGACAGGGGAUGUGGCUUGGUCAGUAGGGUGAUAGCUUAGAAUGCACAGAGCCCUGGGUUCAAUCCCCAGCACAGUGUUAAUCAGGUGUGGUGACACGCUCCUAUAGUCCAAUACGUGGGAGGUAGCGGUGGAAGACUCAGAUAUUCCAGAUCAAUUUUAGCCACAUAGCAAGUCUGAGACAAGCCCAUGCAAAAUACACAUGCAAGCCCAUCUCAAAAUAUAAAUAGGGACUGGGGAGAGGGAAGGGGAGAAACUGUGUAAUUAUGUUUUAAUUAUAAAAAAAUACUAAGCAGUAGAUAUAUACAUGUAAGUAAGCAAGACACUGCUGAUACAUAAGACACCCUCAAUGGGAAAGCAAGCAUCAGGCCAGCCACCACGGGGCAGACCCAGCUUCUCAAUUCCUAGCAACUGUUCACAAACUUCAGACCCAGAGUAUCCCUGACAGCUGUCUGCAUCUCUAGGUUCUGUGCUUCUCACGGGUUGGGGAAGGUGGAACAAAAGAAGGAAAGAAGUCAGACAGGAUGAGGCCAGCUGUAAUGACGCAGAGGUUCUGAGCCCACUGCCCAACAGGACAGAGUCAAUGUGAUUCCCUGGCCACGGCACUGGGAAAGCAGAAGCUUCUGCAUCUUUGGCCUCCUCACAGGUUCAUUUCUGCUUCAAAGUCCAGGCUCUGCACCGAGGGCCACUCUGCCUCACCCAUGUCACACAGUUAAGGACAGUGGUUUCUGCUACAAAGGCCAGCCACACUGGUCCUUGGGGACCAGCUACAGACAAAGCUGUGAAUGUCCACAUACUGUUUAGAAGGAAAAUUCCCUUUGUUUGGACACAGAACAAAACAAGAAGGCAGUUGCCCUGGGAGGGUCCACAGAAGGGCAGGUAUAAAUGAAGCGGCCGAGGGCACUGACCUGAACUUCCCGGUCCGCACCUGCAGAGCUCUCAUUCCGCACUGCUGGGCACCGCCAACGUCACCCACGAUGUCAUCGCCAAUCAUGAUGGCCUGUCAGUAGUGAAAUACGCUCAGACGUUAUGUCAGGGGAGUUUUAUUCCUGGAUUUUCAUCUUUUCUUUUCUUUUUUUUCCCCUUGACAUAAUAAACUGCUUGAUUUGGUGCUUAAAGCCACCAUCAUCAGAAUUAAACAAGGUAAUAUUGUCAUUGUAUUGAUUUAGAGUCAACCCACCUUGAAUAUAUCUCCUGCUGCCUGCGUGCCCCCCACCCCCGACAUCACCAGUAUAUAGUUAUCCAAUGUAAAAUCAAUCAGCAGCCGUCAAAGUGAUUUGGUGGCCUGAGAACACGAGGAGCACCUGGCGCUACAGAGCAGGCUGCAUUUUACCCGACGUUAAAGACUUUAUGACCAGGUGACUGCGCUAUGAAAACUAAUUCAGUGUCUGACUAGUCUUUACAGUCCCCAGGUCAAAAGGUCUGCUUUAAUUGUGUGGAGGGACUUAGAAAAACCAAAAUUUAAAACACACACCGUGUCUACUAGAUAGGGCUUCAGUGGCAGUCAGUGGGGUAGACUCCUCCUCCCAUCUGAAACAACCCUACGCCAGGCAACCUCUCAGAACCAGCAGUUCUCAAGGUACUGGGCAUCAGGCAAAAGGGAUGUCUUUUAAGGCUCAGGGAGCUGUGACUAGCCCAGGCUCCUGCCUUUGGUGUUCUCACAGCCCGUGUGUAGGGAGGAUGUCAUGGACUGAGUUGAGUUCUCUGAAGGAGGCAAAGCUGGGUAAACCCCUGGUGUGAGCACUUAGAUGUGACUGGGGUCCUUACUGGAAGAGAAAAAAAACCCACAGCUGUCUCCACACAAACACAGCAAAGUCCACACGAGGACAGGGCAAUAAGGCAGCCAUCAUGGUUUGGAUAUGGUUUGUGUGCUGCAGGCUUGGUCCCCAGUGUCAUGGUGUCAAUGGAGACACCUAAAAUAGAUGUGACUGGAAAUUGUUACAUUAAGCAAAACAAACCAGACUUAGAAAGGCAAAUAUAGCAUGUUUCCUCUCAUAAGCAGAAUCUGAAGUCGAAAUUAUGUGUGUGAGUGUGUGUGUGUGUGUGUGUGUGUGUGUGUGUGUGUGUGUACACGUGCACUCAUUUAGAUACAUGUGUGAUUAUAGAUCCUGAAACUACAAAGGCAAUCAUGAGAAGAAAGGAUUAGGCCAAGGCGGUGGGCAGUAGAAGCAGCAACGGGAUUCCUAGAAAAGGGAAGCAGAGAGGGACUGCCUGCAAGGACAGGAAACAGUCAGAGGCAAAGGGGCAUAGGGACCAGCCCGCACUUCAAAAUCCUCACCGGAAUUCUCAGAUCUCUCUUCCUGUGUUUUCCAGCUAUGUUACAACUACCAGUGACAAACUGAUUCCCAUCAAUAUCCCCAGAUAUAGUGUCUACCCUUAGAAUAAUACUAUGGGAAGUCAAUACUUUCUGGUCUUCUACUUACAGUAACAAACCAAAGUUUCUUUUAAAAUACAAUUUUUUAAAGAGUCAAUUUAAAGAAAUCCUGAGCAAAAUAAUAGUGCCAGUGGCGAUUCCCAGCUAUGAGGAAAUGGGGAGCCCUUUUCUAGGAGGACAGAGCUGGGGGACACUGCUAAGAGCUUGACUGGAGUUGUUUGUUUGUUCAUUCAUUUACUUGGUUUGUAUCUAUCAUGUGCACUUUCAUAUAGCUGUGUGAAAACCAUCCAGCCAUCUGGGAGGAGCCAGCCGGUGGCAUCUAGUCACUGUAGUGGGACAGCAUGGGGCAUUCCACACACGAACAGGAGACACCAAAGCUUUGGGACUUCCCCACAACUUGCACAGAGUGACCUCAGGUACAGACGGCCAGACAUCUCAUGUUGGACUUGCUUGCCCCCUCUCAAGGAGCUGUCCUAAAACUGUUGGUUCGGCCCUUAAAUACUCAAGGGUUCCAACUCGAGCAUCCACCAUUGUCAAGGGUGCUGGGACCUUUGUAUGGCUGGGCUCCCUACAAAUGGAAUGUAAAUCCCAACUAUAUGUCACGCCUGGCACCUGCCAUGGCUCUGGAACAGGCUGUCUGUAGCUCAGUCAGUAGAGUUCUUGACUGCUAUACACAAGGCUGUGGGUUCGAGCCCCAGCACUGCAUGCCUAAGUGGGAUGAUGUGUGCCUGUAACUCCAGUACUUAGGAGAUAGAGGCAGGGAGACCAUAGAGUUCGAGGUCACCUUUAUUACAUAGUGAGUUCAAGGUCAGCCUGGAUGCAAUGAGAUACUGCCUCAAAACAACUCAUACAUGUGCAUUCACACGCAUACAUAACUGGACAGUGGAAAUUGCCUUCUCGAGACCUUUUGUGCUGGCAUUUGUUGAUGUAGCCCAGAGAGAUGGUAUCUGGAAAGAAAGAAAGAAAGAAAGAAAGAAAGAAAGAAAGAAAGAAAGAAAGAAAGAAAGAAAGAAAGAAAGAAAGAAGGAAGAGAGGAAGGAAGGAAGAAGAGAGGAAGGAAGGAGGGAAGGAAGGAAGGAAGGAGAAACUAAUCCUUCAGAGGAAAUGCUGUCACCCAUGAUAGAGCAUGUGGGGGAUGGAUGCUUGGGACAAUGACCAUGCCAGCAUGGGGAAGAGCAGCAGGAAGGAGAGGUGAGGGUGGCAGGGAGCUGGGACUGGACAUGGGCAGCCAGCAGGAUGUGCAGUGAAGCCUGUCUGGGCCAGCUUGUGGGCUCCGCAUACCAAAACGCUCUGGGGACCCUGGGGAAUUUACAGAUUUACCAUCAGUGAAGGGCAAUAAUCACACCAAGAGGAGCAAUUAUUGCCAAAUCAUUUAGGAUUUAAAAAAUCAUUGGCAAGAAGAUGGAGGUCAAGAGGUGCGCUGUCGGGGGAAAUAAAAAAAAAAAACCCUCUACCUGUCAGGCCUGGCUUUUACUCCUUUCUGACUAUGAUGUGAUAGAAGGGAGACACAUAACAACUGAAUGGGUAGACUCUGAGAGAACCCAGAAAUGCAGAGAGCUGCAGGGGGCUGUCACCAUCCAAGACAGAUUCUGUGCUUUGGAUCUGUACAGCAGACUCUUGGGCUGGGCAGGCAGGUCGAUCGGUAAAGCAUUUGUCUAGAGUGUACGAAGGUCUCCAUUCAAUCCCCCUGUACUACAUAAAACAGGCAAGGUAGUGGGGGCCUAAGAUCCUGGAAUUUAGGAGAUGGAGCAGGGGGACCAGAAGUUCCAAGUCAUCACUGACUUUAUAAUGAGGUAGAAGCUAGUCUGGGCUAAAAAGAGUAGAUCCUCUGACCCGUCACUACCGUCUGCCUAAGGGAGAGUCGCUCCUUCACCAGCUCAGGCGCUCAGAAGAAUGGUGCCAAACUGCACUGGAGGCUUCCAGUGCACUGGGGCUAAGGGUCUCCCAAGAAAACCUGUGUAUUGGGAGCUGUCAGCUCUCCCAGGAGCCUGCAGGGCAAGAAGUAUGUUCCCAUGGCUAGGAAGGGCCUGUGGAGCGGGAGGGUACACAACUCACAAGGGGAGUCCUCCAUAUUGACACCUUCAGCUACCAGGUGCCUCAGAAACCUCGAGCUGACACUUGCUAAGAUGUUUCCACCAUGGCCUAGCACAGUUAUAAGGACUAACAUGACCAAAGUCAAGGAUCACUGAUUUUCUUUUUUUUACAUAUAUGGGUGUUCUGCCUGCAUGAAUGUCUCUGUGUAACUGUGCCUGGUGCUCAGGGAUGCCUGAGGAAGGGGCUGGAUCCUCUAGAACUGGAGUUAUAGCCAGUUGGGAGCCACCACAUGGAUGCUGGGAAUGGAACCUGUGUCCUCUGAAGGAGUAGGCAAUGCUCUUAACCACUGAGCCAUCUAUCCAUUACUGGAUCCCUUUUUAAAGGAAAGAUUGGGUCAGGGAUGUUACUUACUUAGGAAAGUGCUUGGCCAGCAUACAGAAGCUGUGGGUUCAGUUCCCAAUGCUAGGUAAACAAGGCACAGUGACAUACUUUUAAAAUCCCAGAAAAUUGGUAGGUGGAAGCUGGGUGUGACGGCAUACACCUCCAACCCCAGUACUUUUGAGGCAGAGGGAGGUGGAUCUAAAGGCCAGCCUGGUCUACAUGGAGAAUUCCAGGCCAGCCUGGUCUACAUGGAGAAUUCCAGGUCAGCCUGGUCUACAUGGAGAAUUCCAGACCAGCCUGGUCUACAUGGAGAAUUCCAGGCAGCUAGGGCUACAUAGUGAGACUCUGCCAUAGUGAGACUCUGCCUCAACAAACAAACAAAAACACAAAACAAAAACAAAAACAAAAAAAAAACCUGUGUUGGUAAAGAUGUGGAGAGAUGAGCAACCUGACACAACCCUUCCAAACUAGAAUAAAUGUUGUACGCUACAAACUUAUUUAUAGUGUCUGGAAAAUAACAACAAAGAUAUAAAAAUAUGCAACAAAGCUGUAUACCAGGGUUAUAAACAAGAAGAAAUGAGGAUGCAACUCAAUAUCCAGUAACGGGAAUGAUAACACAUAUGCAUGCAUAUAUAUACAGAAAUGUGUACAUAUAAAUAUAACAUGGUGAAAUAUUACACAGUCACAAAAGUUACUUCACAAAACUGCUUAAAUAAGCACUAAGGAAAGUUUUCUCAACAGAUUUUUAGGGAGAAAUCAGGUUUCAAAUAGCAGGUAGAGGUUAUUCAUUGUCUGUGGAAAAAGAUUAGAAAGCUUAAAUUAUGUUAUUCUAAAAUGGUACAAUGAUAGUUUUUUUUCUUGUGACUUCUCUGAAAUUUUUGAUCUCCUUUGGUUAAACAGGAGGCUUGUUUGUUUUUAAUGUGUAUGUGUUCCUGCGUGAGUUUAUGUGCAUUAUGUGCGUGCAGGAGCCAAAGGAGGCCAGAAGAGAGCAUUGGCUUCACUAAAACUGGAGUUACAAGAGGCUGGGAGCCACCAUGUAGGUGCUGGAACCAAACCUGGGUCCUCUGCAAGAGCAGCCAUUUCUCCUUCACUCCCUGAACUUGUGUUCUGAAGAGAAAAUUAACUCUACUAGAAAAAGCUCUAGAGGACAAAAGCCUCCUAAGAGCCAUACAGUAGGAGGUGUUGGAAGCUUGACUGACGCAUGUGGCGUCUCAGCAGGACUUCCAACACUCCCACUUUGUGGUGCUGGGGGCUCCAUGUUGGGCCAAAGCAUUCAUAUCCAGCUGGGCUGGAUCCACUCCUGGCUUUUGCUCUCCUGGAUUUCUAAACACACACACACAUACUCCUGAUCCCAGUCAGAGGAUAGGACACCUCAUCCCUAGAGAAAACAGCUAGGAAUAAGGCUUGGUAACCACAGCAGCAAGGCUUCGAUGGAAAGGCUGCAGGGCAAAAGUUGUGACCCUCAACUGUGGGCACUCCCACCAGAAGCACAGACUGCCCCAACUCUUAUAGCACUGACCUUCAAAACAGGAAUAAAUGGAGGGCACAGGCCUCGUCUUACAGCCAGCCUGCUCUAGACAGCUAUGAGCCUGUCCCUCAAUUGCUUUUUUUAAAAAAUGCUAAUUUAUUUAUUAUUCUAUGGUGGGCAGUGGGCAUGAACAUCAUGUCACUGUGCAUAUGAAGGCCAAAGGGCAACUUGCACGAAUGAGCCAUCUCCUUCCAUCAUGUGGGUUCCAGAGAUCAGACUCAGAUCAUCAGUGCUUUGAGCAAAGGCUUUUAUGACAGAGUCCGUCACCAGCCCUUAAUUAUAUUUCCGUGUGUGUGUGUGUGUGUGUGUGUGUGUGUGUGCACAUGCGUGUGUGCGCAUGCGUGUGUACAGUGUAAUUCUAGGAGUCAGUUCUCCACUUCCUCCUUCAAGAGGGUCGUAGGGAUCAAAGUCAGGCCCCAAUGCUAGCCCAGAACAGUGGCUCUCCCCAGGACAGUGUCUAGAGACUUCACCCCUUAAGAACAGGGGUGGUGCUACCACAGCCAGCAGGUGGUCAGGCAGGCUGUAAUGCCUGCCCUGCGUGCAGAGAGCUUCUAGCACAGCCUUAGGAAUUCCUAGAAGUCAUGGGAAAGGUGUGCUAUUCUUCUCCAGAUUUCUGGACCCUAGGAAAAAACCUGAUUACCUCUAAGGAGGUUGAAUUUCCAAUUAUCUAGGGUCAGCCCAGUUCCCUGCUGUUUCUAGGCUGUUUGGGAAAGAUAUGUUGGGAAUUGGAUUGGGGGCUGCGCCACCGGAGCUCAGGCUCAAAACACCAGGGAAAUGGCAGUAAAGACUUUAUUGAUUAGGGAAGCUCAGAACAGUCAAGGUGUGCCACAACCUGGCACAGGAGCAGCCUGUAGCCCUUCACAAGACAUGUUUAUUAAAAAAACAAAAAAACAAAAACAAAAACCAGUGACAGUAACACAGAGGCAGGCAGUAUUACUCUGCAUGCACAUAGUUAGGAGACACUUGUCCUAAAAUGUGCAUACAUCUCGAUAUUCAAAUAACAUGAACUAGCAUUUCAGCAACGUGGCAGGCUGGAGCCAGGACAGGAUGACAUGGAGGAAAUACACAGGUACUGUGUUUAAAUGCAGACCGCAUUAGCCUGCAAAUGCUAGGCACAGAGCCAGGUAUGCAGCACAGCACACAUGGCGGUACCAGGACAAGUUCCCUCCCUGCAUGCACCCCGUGAGGCCUGGUCAUCAGGCUUGGCUCAAGGGGAUUUUACCCACUAAGCUAUCAAACCCACGUAAGCUCUAGAACACUUUUAUCUCCCAUGGGAAACUAGGUACUCCACAAGAUGACAUUCCCGAUGUGCCCAUGGGUCACCCUCCUCUCCAGGACAUUUCACUGUGCAGAUGGGAUAUGCACUGCUGGCCCAUUCGUGGGGAAUAGGCAAGCCUCUGAGUUCUGCUCAACCUUUUAGGUACUGUGAAUACAGCUGUUUCGAACAUCUCUAAAUGAUUUUAGGAGACUGUUUCUGUGGUGGUGGGAUUCAAAUCUUGGGCUUCAUUCUUGCUGGGCAGGUGCUUAACUACUGAGCUACCCUCUGACCCUACAAGAUGAUGGUGGUGGUGGUGGUGGUGCUGUCCUCUGAAUUCCCAUCCCUGUUAUCUGGGCCUCACCUGGGAGCACCAUCGCUGAGGCAGAUGGAGACCCAUUUAAUACUGAAGACCCACCAGAGGCUCCCUCUCAGCAGUGCUGUUCACUCACAGACCUACCAGCAGAACAUGCAGGUUCCAGCUUCUCCACAUGAAGCUGGCCAUCUUCUGCUACUUCUCUCUUUUAGCAGCCAUAUUGGAGUAUGUUUUUUGUAGUACUAAUGAGCCAGGAAACUGGCCCUUUUUCUAUGUACUCUUUGGUCGUUGCCUGGGGUUGUACAGCUUUGUGGCUGUGCUAAAAUGCCACGUUUUAAAAGAAAUAUUAUAAUGUGAAAGGAUACCAUAGGUCUGAAAUUUAUUUUAAAACAUGGCAGUAAAGCCGGGCCAUGGUGGAACUGCCUUUAGUCCCAGCACUUGGGAAGCAGAGGCUAGCCUGAUCUGUAUAGUGAGUUCCAAGAGAGCCAGGACUACACAGAAAAACCCUAUCUAAACAAACAAACAGACAGACACCUCACAAAGAAACAAGGUAGUAAAAAACUUAGUUCUGGGGCUAGGGAGAUAAGAUGUCUUAUUUGGAAAGGAGCUUGCUGUCCAAGCACGACAAUCUGAGUUCGGAUCCCCAGACCCACGGGAAAGUGGGCACAGCACCACACAUCUGUAAUCCCAGUGUUCCUAUGUUGAGAGGGGAGGUAGAGACAGGAGAAUCCCUGGGAGCUCACUGGUUAGUCAGUCUGGCAGAGCAGCAGCAAAUAAACUCUCAAACGGAUGCAAGGCACGGACUAACAUGCAAGGUUGCCCUCUGUGCUACACAUGCACACAUGCGACACUUAGGUAAGUUGCAGGUACACAUGUGCGUGCAUGUGCAUAUACAUGUACACGCACACAGAAAACAAGAAAGGAAAGAAUUAGUUUUUAAGAGGAAAAAAACGGGCUGGAGAGAUGGCUCAGCGGUUAAGAGCACUGACUGCUCUUCCCGAGGUCCUGAGUUCAAUUCCCAGCAACCACAUGGUGGCUCACAACCAUCUGUAAUGGGAUCCAAUGCCCUCUUCUGGUGUGUCUGAAGACAGCUACAGUGUACUCUUAUAAACAAAAAUAAAUUUUUUUAAAAAAGAGGAAAAAACCAUUUUAAGAGGGAAAUAUCUGUGAUCCAGUUUGGGGUACAUGGUAAGUAACUGUCUCAUUCCUCACAGUGAGAAAGGCCCUGGCCAGCAAGAUGGUUCAAUGGGUAAUGGCACUGGCUGCUGAUCCUGUCAAUCUGAACCCACAUGGUGGAAGGAGAGAAUGAACUCACACAAUCCCAUACCCACAAUAAGUAAAUAAAUAAGUAAACGUCCUUUUAAAAUGUAAAGAAGAAAGGAAAUCCUGCUAUGCCUACCUGGUGGGCUUCCACCCCUAUGGCUUGCAGAGCAGACCUGAAGAACUCAGGGGAGGGUUUCCCCACCACUUCAGCCUCGAUACCACAGGCAUACUGGCAAAGAGAGGGCACAGUAUGAGUUUCAGAUCAGGAACAUGAGAGUAGCCGCACAUGGAAAGACUUCCUCAUGAUGGUCAGAGCCCUUCACAAAGCAGGAUGCCCUGGGCCUCAAACCGUCUCACAGGCAAACAUGUUGCAACUCCCCAACAGGCUGCUGCACAGAAUGCUUAGGACACCUACCUCCAAGGCUGCCCACAGCAAGUGGCAUACCAUACCUAGCAAAGUCACAAGUCUUCCAAAGGACAGGGGACCAAGGCUCUCAUUGCCUGUUCAGCUACAAUCCCAUCUCUUGCCUCUCCCUGCUGCCCUGCUCCCUGCUGAUCACAGCCCUCCUGAGGGUGUCUAGGAUUCAGUCUCCUCACCUGCUUACCCUUCUCACCUGGACACAGGUGGACAGGGGCUGCCACUACUGUGGGGCUGGUACAUGGGAUAGCAGGAGUCUAGGCAGGUGUAGCUAAUUGAUAGGCCACAGUCACAGUGGACUCAAGAGGUCAAGCCACAGAAGGCUUUAUGACCUGGGAAGUCAUCUCAGGAAAGGCCCAGGGAGGACAUAUAGCCUGAGGUGUUACGGGGCUGGGAAGGAAACAGGUGAUCUGUAGACACCAAAGCCGAUAGCCAGAGCCAAGAGCAUGCUGGAAAGAGCACCCAGAGGUUGGCUGGGGGUCAGGGGAUGACACACACAGAAUGACUUCAUGUUGACCAAGGAUGCCUGGACACAAACACCACUCAGCAGAAGACUGGAGACUACUACUGUAAAUAGCUGUUCCCAGGAGCUACGACAGAGGCCCUUGAGAUAGAAGCUCAGUGAACACGGUCUAGGAAUGGAAUCCUGUGAGAGGUCUUCAUGCCUGUGAGAAAACUCCGAGAAAACAAGAGCCUAUGACCUCAGUUUCUUCAAAACAUGGAAUUAUUCUUGCAAAGUGUUUUGUGCUCCUCGCAGGUAUGGGAGUGAGUUUACUUCAGAUGCUCAUCAUUGCUUGCUGCUGUUACUCAACUAAAUGUUUAAAUUAUCCUUUAUAUGCCUCUAUGGAAAAAUGUAUUUUUGUCACAUGCAGCUUGUCCCCAUGGUUGUGUACAUCUUUUGAACUCAUGGAAACGUUGCUCCUGUGAUUUCUCUUAACCCUCAGAGUAUAAAUUGUUGAAUAAUGUU